rnacentral:rRNA from 1 species
GAUGAACGCUAGCGGCAGGCCUAAUACAUGCAAGUCGAACGGUGUCUUCGGACAUAGUGGCGCACGGGUGCGUAACACGUAUGCAACCUACCUUACAUUGGGGGAUAGCCUUUCGAAAGGGAGAUUAAUACCGCAUAAGACAGUAACUAGGCAUCUAGUAGCUGUUAAAGAUUUAUCGAUGUAAGCUGGGCAUGCGUCCAAUUAGCUAGUUGGUGAGGUAACGGCUCACCAAGGCAAUGAUUGGUAGGGGAACUGAGAGGUCAAUCCCCCACACUGGAGCUGAGAUACGGGCCAGACUCCUACGGGAGGCAGCAGUAGGGAAUAUUGGGCAAUGGACGCAAGUCUGACCCAGCCAUGCCGCGGGCAGGAUGAAGGCGUUAUGCGUUGUAAACUGCUUUUAUACAGGAAGAAACGACUCUUGCGAGAGGCAUUGACGGUACUGUAUGAAUAAGCACCGGCUAACUCCGUGCCAGCCGCCGCCGUAACAC